UGCCUAAGCUCUGGCAGAAGGGAAGGAAGCCAAUUUAUUAUCACUCCCUGCUUUAUACUGUGUCAGUUCAUGUGAAUGUUUCAUUUGCUUUUUCACAUGAACUGCCACAGCAUGGGUUAAAUGGAGAGCUCUGUAGUCAUGGUGCUAAGGAUUCUCAUUAGCAUCAGUUGGGGAGUCAUUUGGGCAAAACAAACCUCUGUGUAUUCCCACUGCUCCUACACCAAGGAUCCAUUUGGCCUAUUGUUUGCACAGAGCGCCCUUGUUCUUGUUGCUUUGGCUAUAGCAUUUUAUGCCAUGCUUCCUUAACUACAAAUCAAGCUGACCAUGGAGCUCCCAUAUCCAGCAUAUAUUACUAGAAUGGAUCCAGAGGCUUUCAAGCCCAGCUGGAUGUGGGUUUUAUUUCUCUAGUCAGCAUUCUCUGGUUUUGCAUGAUCAAUCCAGAAGGACACAUAGGGAUUUGUUCUCCUGCAUGGAAAGCUUUUGGUGGAUAAGUCUAAUCAGUUACAGAAAUUAAGAGAACAAUUACAUCCAGUACUGCAUUGUAUCAGAAUAUCUCCAUGCCAGCCUUGAAGAAGGUGUGAAGGGACAGAACUCUGUCCUGAGAAAGUAAAAGUCUUGAGAAAGAAAUUCAAAAUAAUCCAGCCUUGAAUUUGUAUGGAAUGGCAGGGGAGUCAGAGAAAAACUCUGGCAGGCUGUCCAGAUUCUGUAUAACAAUUACCCGCCUUCCUGGAUGCUUUGCCCUGUCCUACCUUGAAAGACUGACACAGAGUGAACUCUCUUCUGUUCAAAACCUGAACGUACUUUUGUUAGAACAGAAAAUGGAUAUCCUGCCCUAAAUGUAAGGGUGGUUUUCAUUUUUGUCACUUUAUUAUCACUAUGAUCUUUGUUUCAGAAAAGCAACUUUCUGGAAAUGUUUUUAGAGGAGAAAGUUCAGUAGAGAACAGAAAUGUGAAGGACAUUUGCUAUACCAGGUUCUGGAGAAAAGUAUUGCUCCUUGCUCUUCCUACCAUCUUCAUGGAUGAGUCUGGAAGUGACAUUGGUUAUUUGUUUGCUUAAAAUAUUUCUUGGCCAAGUUUAAAUGCAAAAAGAAUGCUGGCCUUUACAAGCAACUAGUCUGAAUGAAUAACCCAGAAGGAUGUUAGAUCUGUAGCUCUUUCAGUCUAAACAGAUGAAAAUAGUGGGGAAAGUAUGUGCAGAAAGGCAUGAACAGAAAACAGAUUUUAGAAACAGGAAAAAAAAGCAUGGGGAUUCAUCAAGACCCUAGACAAUUACCCCUGUAUAUAAUCCAUAUGGGGGCAAAUUAUGCUCCCAAGAACAAGUGCGUGUCUACCGUAUAAAACUACAGCAUUUUUAGAAGAACCUGAAACUCAAAUGAUCCUUCUAAUCCAUAGCAGAAGACUUGAAAUGGAAAAAGAAUAUUGCAGCCAGAUAUCUGGCUGUGUAAAUGGUAUUGAAAAUACAGGUUUGGUUUCCUGAACUGUGGCCACAGUAGCAGUGAUAAAGACUGGGAAGAAUGCAUUGAGCCAAAGCAUGUCAAAUAUGAUCGGAAUAACUUUCAACUGUGGAACCACAACAGAAUAAGAAAGUCAGAUAAAAAAUUGUGCAUUGCAGGAAUAAGACAGUAACUAAAAUGAAGAGCUGGGAAAUCAUAAAUGAAACAUGAAUACUGGGAAAAUUGCAGAGCAGAUUAAAGAUUGAUCAGAUUGUAAAUAUUUGGUGAUAAGAUAGAUAUUACUAAAAUUCUGCUUCUAUUUGGCAAGUACAAGUCUUAUCAGACUAAUCUUAUUUUGUUUUUUGAUUCUGUAAUUUCCUUAGUAGAUUGUGGGAAUGCUGUAGACAUAAUAUAUCUUAACUUCAGCAAAGUAUUUGAC